rnacentral:rRNA from 1 species
GUUGUCCGGAGUUACUGGGCGUAAAGCGCUUGUAGGCGGUCCACCAAGUUUGGGGUGACAGUUGCCGACUUAAUCGGCAAAGUGCCUCAAAGACUGGCGGACUUGAGGGCCACAGAGGGACAUGGAACUCCAGGUGUAGUGGUGAAAUGCGUAGAUAUCUGGAAGAACACCAAAGGCGAAGGCAGUGUCCUGGGUGGUCGCUGACGCUGAGAGGCGAAAGCCAGGGGAGCGAACGGG